AUUAGCAAGGUCAUCAAAUUAAUUCAAACAUUCCUCACAAACAAAAUGUGUCUGUAAAAUGAUUAAGAAUUGAUGUUGGACUUGGAAGAAUGGUAGACAUUACAGUAGGAUAUCAUUCACCCAAAUCCAUUGAGCAAAUGUAGGAACCUUACUUCCAUGUAGCAUUGAAUCUUAUCUAACUACUUAUUUUUUCCUCGUAGACAUUCAAGAUGGCGUAUGUAAUGCAAUGGCGACGAGGUAAGGUAUCUCUCAAUAUGAUAGAAUUUGAACUUGAAAUUGGAUUUAUUUCAAUGAUAGGUAAUUAGCCGUAAAUAUUUGACAACCACAUUAAAACCUAAUUAAAUUUUAGUUAUACAAACCAAAGGGGAACACAACACGAAUCGAAUAAGCACUUUGAAUAAACAAGAAUUGUACCGUGGAAACAUACUUCAUUGAAUAGGAUCAUGGUUUCAUGAAAAAUCGCAACUCUUCCGAUGCUUGCACCAAACUUCAUGUCGAGAGAUUAGAGAGGUGGAAAAUGAUGAAAACCUACGAAUUAUUAUUCUUGACAUCUACCUAAUUUAAGUUAUCUAGGUCACGACGAAACUCAGUGCUACGUUAACAGGAUGCGAUCAAGUACAUUGCUCAAGAGAUUUGCGGUCCGUGGUCGAUGAAAGUUCAGUUGUUGAAAGGAAGAGAUGGAAGAGAGAACUGCAGAUACGCUGUAAAUGAAGGCGGGGCAGAGGCCACAGACAGACACAGACACACCACAGUUCAUGGAGGAAAAGCAGAGGCGAAUCGUUCAGUGCCGUACCAAAAUUGGUUCUUGCUGGGUUGCGGAGCUCUCUUUCAUCAAGGUCCCACAUUUUACCUUAACACUGGUUGCUGGUGUCUAUACCUUGCCGGACACACCAAUCAUAUUUGCCGUAUCUCACUCCAGCUGAAGUUGUUUUGAACACCCUGUUGUCAUUUGUGACAAUUGAUGCAUCAUUAUGGACCUAUCUCACCUGCAGUGUUACCUGCAUCAUCCAAAUAAACUGCCCGUCUUCUACUUCUUUGGCGCACACUGUCAUUUGAGUUUUCGAAAGGAAAAAAUUAGCGGCAAAUCGCUACUACAUCUCUGUCAGAAGAAAUCCAUGGAUUCACAAUUAGAACAAUGAUAGAAUGUUCCUUUCAUUUUAUCGGCUUAGGUCAUGCUGCAUUCGUCAGCCAUGCAAGAGAUGGUCAAUCUCAUAACCUGAUGUCCGAUGAGUCAUAUGGAUCCUCCAGUACCAUUAAGAGAAUGCCUUCACGACAAAUUGGACUUAUAGUUAAAGCCAAAGCACCGCUUCGUAUUUGACCUACUUAACGGCCGACUAAUCUGACGUCUGAGAUGCAUCAUGCUUCAAAGAGAAAAAAUGUUAACAAAGGGAAUAAUUUGAAAGCCUUUUUUUGCAUCUUCCUUUUCCUUUUUUUUAUUGAUUUUUUUGAAAGGAGGGUCUCUUAAUUUUGAAAUUUUUUAUUGAAUAUCCACUUCACAUCCAGAAAACUAUCAGCAGAUAUUACAAAAAUGUAACGUUUAUAAUGAGGGAGUCAAAAUAUAAUCUCUAUUUUCGAUUUGAAGACUUCCGGCUGGUGUCAAGUGAAUGCGCUUCCUCAUUCCUAACUGAUUAUGACAACUCAAGUGGCGUUUAUCUACACGACGACAAGGAUAUUUUAUUUUGACCAAGUUGACUUGGAGACCCGAGAUCACCGGGUCCGAUGAUGUUAGUGAAACAACAGCGAUUUCAGUGCCCCCUCCGGCAACCUGCAGAUGAGCCGCUCGAUUCGGCAUCAUAUGGCCAUAGGACGCUGUCUCUCUCAGAUCACUGGUCCUUAAGGGUGAUCGGUCUGUCCCUCGCAUGUUAGCGAUCCUAUAUCUGCGACAUGAUGUCACCAUGUCGCGCGUGAUGUGUAGCUGGACCACCCGAGUGACAUCCCGACCGCUGGCGCUUUCCCUCUUCAAGGCACUUCACAGCUGAUUCCUACAAGUCGCGCCACAUAAUAGAUUCGAACAAGGAAAGUCUGAACAAUUCCUGUUCUAAUUGACACUCGACCGCAGAAGAAUGCACCAAUCCCACGAGUCACACUUCGGCGCAAAAUUUAAACCUAUUCCUUCCGUUUCAUUGUUCGCGACACAGGCAGGAUAUCAGUGGAUGUUGAAAUGAAAGUUUUUUUUAUUUUUAAUUUCUAUAAAUAAAGAUUAUGAUCAUAUGACAAAA